rnacentral:rRNA from 1 species
UACGAAGGGGCUAGCGUUGUUCGGAAUUACUGGGCGUAAAGCGCACGUAGGCGGGUCGUUAAGUCAGGGGUGAAAUCCCGGAGCUCAACUCCGGAACUGCCUUUGAUACUGGCGAUCUAGAGGUCGAGAGAGGUGAGUGGAAUUCCGAGUGUAGAGGUGAAAUUCGUAGAUAUUCGGAAGAACACCAGUGGCGAAGGCGGCUCACUGGCUCGAUACUGACGCUGAGGUGCGAAAGCGUGGGGAGCAAACAGG